ACACUUCUGAAGAAGGAGGCCCGCCUCAAACCCAGCUCUUUUAUAGAAAGGGCCAUGUUUGCUGGACUUUGAUUGGCUGGGCAGUUAAUUGAGAAGGUGGGGACAACAGUAUAUAGGGAGACUGUUGGCUGAGCCAAGAAGAAGAAGAGGGAGAAAGCUUGAGAGUCUGAAGCAGAGCGCUUGAAAGCUAAGAGACUGUUGGGAAAGAUGUCAUUUUGUCUUGUCCGUGAGCUAUUCUGUGCUGAAGGAGGCCUAAUAAACCACCUUUGUUUAUGCUACAGCCAACUUUGAGGAGUUUUCCUUCUACACCACACCUCUCAGUGUAACACC